rnacentral:lncRNA from 1 species
UGGUCUUUACCUACUAAGUCUUCCCUCGAUUUCCUCCAUCGGACCUUCCAAGAAGCUCCGGCUCCUCCCAGACUCCUCUCCGUCCGAUCUCAAAAGCUCAGCUCCGGUUCUGGAGAUCCAUUCCUUUCUAAUGCGUCCGGGUUCGGACCUAGGAAAUCCGCGAAUUUGGAUCGUCCAGAAGCUUCGAUCGGAUCUUCUGGUUCCUCUUCGUCUUCGGUUAUUGAUUUCCUCACAUUGUGUCAUUCGCUCAAGGUAUGGAUGUUUCCUCCUAUUUGAUUGCCGUGAAAACCGAGGAAAAGAAAAUGAGGAGAUUCAAGAUAAUUGAUUUAGUUUAUUUUAUUUUAAUGCAGUUCGUUAUCAACGAAACUAGGAUUUAGGAAUUGGCUUGAUUGCAUUUGAUCUUGAAAUGUGUUUCAUAUGUUCAGUACAAAUUUCACACUAUUGUGAAAUUAUAAAGUUGUUUGGAUUGAAGCAUUUUCGUCAGAGCCGGUAAUACUAUGUGAACCAAACAGUAUUAAGCUGAAUCAAGUAUUGAACUAAUGACCUAACUAUAAUCUCAAUAGAAGUGUCUUGUUGGGCGGGAGCUCCUGAUUCUAUCCGUAUUUGCGAAGAAUCCUUAUUUACAAGCAUGUGAUUGUUAUCUCACUUUUUUACAUCUUUUAGACCACAAAAAGGAAGGGAUGGAUCAAUAAUGGGAUAAAAGGUCCGGAGUCUAUUGCUGAUCACAUGUACCGCAUGGCAUUGAUGGCGUUGAUUGCUGGUGACCUUCAUGGUGUGAACAGGGAAAGGUUGGACUUGUUUGAACGUAUCACUGCUUGUGCUUUUUGUUUUUAAACAUAUUUUCAGGUUAUUCUCGGUGAUAUUUCUGCUUGUUUAAGUAUUAACUAGAUGAUUAUGAUAAUGAUCUUUAUCUUUUUAUUUAGUUACUUUCCUUCUCUCUGAAAUAUCUCUCUGUGGCAUUCUCCCAACCAUAUUCUGAGAUUUCUGCAUUUUAUUUAUUAUGAAUCCUUGUUGAUGAGUUGAACAAAUUGUGCUCAAGAUUCCAAAUAAUAUCUAAACCAAAAUAUUUUGAUUUAAUGCUCAAAGCGCGUUUAAUCGGACCAGGAUAGAAGAAGGAAAAUAAUAAAAGCUAGAAGGCCCAAGCUUGCAUAGAGAGUUCAGAAUACAUUUUUUUACUUCAUGAAGUUCUAGUUGUCUUUUCACUUCAUUUAUGAAAUAGGAGGGGUGGUGGUGUGGGGAGCAAACAGAAGCAAAUCCAUAAGCUAGAUUCACUGUGAUCUAUUUGUUCACAGUGUAUCUGGCCUCCAAGAAUUCUACACGGUAGAUGAUAUUCAUGAAUCUGAGAUAGGAACUGAAAUUUACCAUAAAGAAAUGCAUUCACACUUGAUUUCACUUCAGAGUACUCCUCUUCCAAAUAUGAAGAGGUUUGGCCGCCAAUCAUGGAGAAUUUGGCCUCACUCUCCAUGUUUGGUUGAGAAAAUGAUUGAAAAUGGUAGAAAACAAGAUUAUUUAAGAAAUGAUUUUUACUUCAUGUAUGAAACUGGAGGGGUGGUGGUGUGGGGAGGAAACUGAAACUAAUGCAUAUGCUAAAUAUCUCAAAACUACCAUUGAUUAUAUAACAAUUUGUAUGCAGCCACAACUUUAGUAGACAAACAUAAACAUGCCAUCGAUCAGUUCUGAGUCUUUGUUAGAUAGUUAUUUGUAUAUAGUCAAUAUUCUUUUUUCAUUCACUACCUUCACCUAGAUUCUUAUUGAAAUGUUUUGUGUCUUUAUUUAAACAGGUGUAUUAAGAUAGCAAUUGUGCAUGAUAUUGCAGAAGGUACAUCUUUAAUUCUUUUAAGACACUCAACAUCUUUUGGUCAAAAUGUUAAAUCAUAUAAUAGAGUCAAUAAAAGAAAAAAACUUGAAUUGUUUUUUUGCAUGAAAAUUGGAAGUUCCAAUGUUUAUUUGAUUUUUCAGCCUCAGAUGUACUAUGAUGGUCUGUAUGGGAAUAUUUUUAGGGUGAAGAUGUUUGUAUAUCAAAUUGUAAGCUGCCUUGAAAAGUGUGAACUAUGCCCUCCGUUUUUUUUUAUAUCUGCUUAAGGAUUAGCUCUAUCCUGGGUUUGUUCUGGAUGGGUGCUUAUAUGGCACUCAUCAAAAGAGUUCAAAAUAGUACCAGAUCCUUUAAAUUGGAAGAUUUUUACCCUAUUUUCUAUUAUGCAGACUAGUGGUAUAUUUUGUUUUACUUUCUUGCACAUUUUAUCAAGUGAAUGGAUCUAACAACAACUAAUCUAAUUGAGAUUCUUCAAAGAAAGAUGUUCAAGAGACUUUAAAAGCAAGCUUGAUUAGAAUUACCAUUCAAAAGGAAAAGGGGUGUGGGUCUAUGGUAUUCCUUUCUUAAAGGUCUCUACCAGAUUUCAUAGGCCUUAUCUACUGUUACAUCUUGGAUGAUUUUGGCAUCCUCACUCAGGCAUGUCUAGAUGCAAGUCAUGCAUUCUAUUCAAUUAUUUUUUUAAUGCUCAAAAAUCGAUGUGUUGUACUUGAGUUGCUAUACAAGGAAAAUGCUCUAGUUCUUUGUUCACAAUAUCAAUAUGUUUCUGUAUGUAUUCUUGUGUUGAUGAAGGAUAUACAGCAUCUAGAUAAUGUUUGAAAAAAUAAUAAUAAUUGUUCAAUAGGAGUAUAAAGUAAUGGCUUCACAUAAUACUCAGUGCUAUCUGUUGGUGUGUUUCAUUUUACAAUUUCAUUAGUUAGCGCACUUACAUUUUUUGGGGGUGGUUUGAAGUUUGAGAUACGUUUUGGAUUUUGAUAGCUAUUGUUGGAGAUAUAACACCAUCUGAUGGCAUUCCUAAAAAAGAAAAGAGCAGACUAGAGCGGGCAGCUUUAAAGGAAAUGUGUGAAGUUCUUGGUGGAGGGAUUAGAGGUACUCACUUUUGCUUGCUACUGUGGAAGACAGAAUUAAAAUUGUUAUUUUUUUGGCAGUAAACUAAGUAAUUGGAUAUUUUAUUAUCUUGCAGCUGACGAGAUCAAAGAACUAUGGGAGGAGUAUGAAAAUAACUCUUCCUUAGAGGCUAAUCUUGUAAAAGAUUUUGACAAAGUAUGCAUCAUCUAGCAUUUGUAUAAGGUUUUAAAUUUUAUGAUAUUAACCAAUUAGCAAUCAUAUGAACUUUUAAAUCUUAGAAAUGACAAGAAGGUGUUGGAUUGAAAAAAAGAUUCCUCUGUUGUACUGCCUGACAUUAUUUUCUCACCUUUGACAAGAGAUACCAUGCUUUCGGACUCAGGAUUUAAUUUACUCAACUUAGAGAAUGCUUCUGUUAAGAUUUGAUUAUAUGCAUUUGAAAGUAUUUUUAGAAAAUGGUUAAUUAUGGAAUUUUUCUUCCAAUGAUGUCAUAAAGUAACAGAAGAUAAAUACAGAAAGAUGGUUAACAUAUGUGGACACAACAUAAACAUGCACAAAUUGUAACAGAAGGUUAUACAUGUCUGUGACCAGUUUUCAUGUUCAUCCAGGUUGAGCUGAUUUUGCAAGCACUGGAAUAUGAAAUGGGUAAGUUGUUGGUCAUGAAAUUAUGUAUGAGCUUUGGACAGUCACCUGGUAUCAUUCAAUUUUUUAAAAUUCUGGAUUAUAGUCAUAUUACUUCUUUCUUAAGACUUUGUUCCUAAUUUCUGGUACAUAUUUAUGGCAAUUCUGUUUUAUAUGAAUACAUACAGUUGUAAUGACUUUCUUCCUCAAGCCCAUCCCUUGGGUCAUUGAAGUAUUUUGUUUUGUUUUGUUUUUUUGCACUUUUAUCAAAAUAUUCUGCCUCCUGAAUAGAGAACAGUUGGUGACAAGUUUAUUGCUCAAGAAAUUGUUUGACUGUAACUGUAGGGGUUAAUUCUAUAUUCCUGAUAUCGUCUUUUCAGUUCUAUUCCUCUGUACAUUUACAAAAUUGUCUGCUUAUUUAUCACACCUCUGAGCUAUCUGAUUGUUCUCAUUUGAUAUCACUUAUGACAGAACAUGGUAAGGUCCUGGAUGAGUUUUUCCAUUCAACUGCAGGUAAAUUGAUAAUUUCUCAAAUAGAAGCAGGGCUUAUAUGCAAAUUGAUGAAUUAUGCCAAUCUACCUCAGUAACCAUCAAAUUGUUCAUUUGGAAUUCUUCUUUUGGAUUUGCAGGAAAAUUUCAGACUGAAAUAGGAAAAAGUUGGGCAGCUGAGAUCACUUCAAGGAGAAAUUCAUGGUUGGGAAACAGGCCGAACUGAUCCUCUGGCUCAAUCACAGUUUUCAUUCAGCAAAGCCAAGAUGUCUUUUUGAAACUAGAUCAUGUAGCAAUCUCCUCUAACGAGAUAAUGUCCUCCUUAUUCACCUCUUUUUGUCCUGGAAUAUGGGAGGAUAAAUUAUUGGACUUGCACUCCAAAGCAAUUGAAACAUGGUUCUAUCAUCAGCAACCAAAUUACUGAAACUGUCAGCACUUUGAAAUUUGAGCGCACGGGAGUAUUAUAUCCUGUUGUAGUAUCAUGGUACAGAUGAUGUUCUCUUUUCCUUUUUGUCUUCCCUCUUGUCCUUACAUUCAUCAAAGAUGGUGUGACUUUAAUGACUGAUUUGUACUCAUCAAAGAUGGUGUGACUUUAAUGACUGAUUUGUACUUAAUUGAUAGCAGUGGGAAUUUUCAUUCUACUUCCAACUUCAUUGCCUUUCUAUAUUCAUAUUUUACACAAUGAUCCAAGUAACACUGGUGGUUAUAGUAACAGUUGCUGUGCAGCUAAGCUUUUAAGUUUGUUGUCUCAUGAGUUCCAUGAGAAGCCCUUUCUAACUGCAUAACCCGGUGAUAAAAGAGGUUGCGGGAUGAUGGGCACAUGGAAGAGGGACAUCAAACUAUUGAUGAUUUCUUAGCUAUUGGUUCUAAUUCUUGGUGCCUGCUGUUGAGAUGUGUCUUGCCAGUCAUUUCCCUGUUGGGGCUCAGCUGAGGCAGCUGGAAAUGUUGCUUAUUUUAUCAUAUGCACUAUAGAGGAUCUUCGAAAUCUUCAUUCUAUGCACCUACAAAGGAUGCUAGAAGACGGCAACGUUCUCUCUAAUGAGGUCGCAAACCAAUCAUUUUGAAUCUGAAUUUUAUUGUUCACUAAUGCCAAAGUAGCGUUCCAAUCCACAUGCCUGAUGUGGAAGCCAACAAAGAACGAUCUAAAAACCAAUGACAUGACAGAAGUCAGAGGCUGAACGAUGAAAUGGUAUGCAUGGAACUGGUGGCGUCAAUGAUUGAACAAAAUACCAUUGUCAUUCAUGAUAUUGAGACACGCUCAUGAACACACUAACACUUGCUCUUUGCUAAUGAUUUGACUUUGAAUUUUCACAAUAUAUGGUUGCUUUUUUAUGUUCAAUGUGCAACUGAUUUGUGAAGAUUACACAAGCGAUGAAUUGUUCGGAAGGGAACAAUGAAAAAGACUCUCCCAGGUUUCAAAACUGCCUCGGGUCGAACCACAAUCCAUGGGUACCUGAACACGUCUGGCCACGUUAUACAGUGUCUGGGGUUCUUCUCCAUGACUGCAGCAGCAGUUAUGGGGUUCUUGUGCACCUCCACAAAACCUCCAGGGUGCACCAGCUUCAGCACUCCAUGCUCUUCCUUGGUGACCGUCCCUACUGCCAUGGUUCUCAAAUCAGAAAGGAAGGAUUGAACAUGGAAGGAGAAGAGGAUGCAUACUUCCCACUUAUAUAUGCAUCCUCCUCCUACUAGCUUACAAAUUUAAGAGGCGGAACACUCUAUGACGAUGAUCUUUGGAUUACAUAGGAUUCUUCGUUUUGCCCAGGCUAUGUGGUGUCCAAUUGAGAUUAUAUUUUUAAAUCUGAUAACUGACUCUGGAGGUUAUCUACAGAAAACACAUACAAACACAAAAUCUUCUUGGAGGAUUCUAGAAGGGGGAGCAGACCAUUUCCCAAUGGUUAUCAUGCUUGCCUCUUAUAUGGAAUUUCCCUUUCAAUGGUAGCUAUUUUUCAACUUCCUCCCAUGCAUGUAUUAAUUAAAUUUUUUAAAAUAAAUAUUAUAAAUAAUAAAUAUGAUAUCGUGAUACUGGAUAAUGAAGGAAUGCAUAGUAAUAUCGGUAUCAUGAAAUGGAGUUUGGAUGACCAAACAUGGGGAUUUGAUUCUUUUCAAGAAUAAGAAAUUGUUUGCAUUUAUUUUCAUGAUAUAUUCAAAAUUUUGUGUGUUAUACUUAUAUCUGUGCUCUAUAUUCGAAAUUGUAUAUAAGAUUUAUGAAAAAAUGAUUUUCAUGAUUUGUAUUGAGAGCAAUAACCUUAUAUAAAUAUUGAUAACUAGAAUAUAAGUAAUAAAUUAUCUUUAUAUGUACUGAUAAAUUGGAAAAAUCACAAAAUAUUGGCAAAAUAUCGGUUUUGGACUGUUAAAUUGCCGUGUGAGUGAGAAAAAAAAAAUCGCUAAUUAAUGGGCAAUUUUUUUUUAAAAAAAUCAAUUUUUAAAAAUAUUUUUCUGUAUUUUUUGAAAAUUUUAUUUUAUUUUAAGAUUAUACUAUCCUUUUAUUUUAAUUAUUUUUCAUAUUUAUUUCAUUAAUCCUAUUUAAAAUUUAUUAUCACUUCACUUUUAAAUUUUUUUAUAUUUAUCCUUUAAUUUUAGUUAACUUUAAAUGUUUUUAUUUUAAAAUAUUAAAAAUAUAAAUUUAUUCAAAAAUUGCUAAAAUAUAAAAAAUUAAUGAAGUUAUAAUAUUUUAUAAAUUAAAAUUAAUUUGAUAAGAUAAUUAUUAAUAUAAUUUUUAAUAAAUUUAAUUAUUUAAAUAUAUUAAUUUUAACAACAAAAAAUUGUCACCAUAAAUUUGUAAUAAAAUUUUAUAAAUUAAAUAUUUUAUUAAAAUCAAUUUAAUUUUUUAUUUAAAAUAUAAUAAAACAUGUUUUAAUGAAAAUAGUUUUUAAUUUUUAAAUAAAUAAAUAUAAAUAUAUGAAAGGAAUUUAAGUUAAUUUUUUUUUAAAAAUGAUGAAUAUUAUCUUUAAUCGUAUUUAUGUUAAUUAAACUAAUAAAAUAACUUUAAUAUGUGUAUUUCCAUCAAAAUAUUAAUUGAUAUUUUUGAUAUAUCCAUAAAAUUCAAAUACCGAUAUAUUUAUAUUUAUUUAUAUUUUAAUCACAAGAAAGGGGUGUAGUGAAUGCUGAGGUUUUUGCGAAGAACUUGAUCCAAAUGAAGUGAAAAUUGAGUUAGUUCAAUGUGUUUAGACCUAGCAUGAAAAACCGGGAUAGCAGCCAUAUGAGUUGCACUUCGAUUGUCAUACCAAACAAGAGGAGGAACAGAUGAGGAGAAACACAAUUCUUGGAGCACGGACCGAACCCAGAUGAUCUCUGAAGUAAGGGAAGCUAGUCCCUGAUAUUACAGGAGAUUACCCUUUGUUUGGUAUAUGACUAAGAUAUCAAGUUUGGACCAAGGAAAGCACAGUACCCACUGGUACCUCAGUGAUCAUCUGGGCAAGAAGCCCAAUUUGCAUCUAUAUAUACCCUUGAAGAUAAGGGGAUUGUGUUGGUGCAGCAGGAGACCAUAAGUGGAGGUACCUUUUAGAUAACGAAGGAUCCUCUUAACGGUAAGCCAAUGAACUUCAGUGGGAUUAGCCAUGAAUUGGCAAGCAUUCUUAACAACAAAUGCAAUAUCAGGUCGGGUGAGAGUGACAUACUGAAAAGCACCAAUAGUGCUACAGUAUAAUUUGGUAUCCAAGAAUAGAGCACCAUCAUGUUGCGAAAGGGUUUUGCCAAGCAUUCCAGGCAUGCCUGCUGGCUUGGAAUCCAGCAUAUUGGUACAUGUGAGAAUAUCCUGGAUAUAUUUGUGCUGAUUGAGAUGCAACAUGGUUUCGUUGUUGUUGUCGCCUCGCGUAUCCGAUGGUCCACGUUGCUGUUAUAUGGAUGGACACGUGAUUCUCAACACACAAGGGGUUCUUGAUUCAGUGGUUGCACCUGCAAAAGGCAUCCGGACAGGGUGUCUGGACGCACCCUCCGAUGGUUUUAUUAGCCAUGGUGAGAAAGAGAUAUAUAAAUCAGUUGGCCUUUUUUCUAGGUAUCAAGAGGUUACCAGGAGAUCCCCUUUCUUCUUCGUGCGAAGGUAUAUAUAUCCAGCUUCAGGGGUACUGUUCCUCUCAUUAAUGGUGAGGAGAUCUUUUCUGUUGUGAUGAUGACAAUAGGUGUUAGUAGGAGCACUAUCAUCCUACGAAUGGCUGUCAGAGACUAUGGUAGGUGAUGCGGUCGUCAGAGAUCGUGGGAAGCGAUUAUGCAGAAUGAUCGUGGGAAGUGACUUGCUGUCACUUCCUCUUGUCUUCUCAUUCUGCAGGUGAUGGGAUGUGGGCCAUGGCUGCUUGUUGUGAUUGCGUGUAAGACUCGCUUUACUUUAAUUGACCAUCCAGAAGAUUUAUAUCCGGAUGGCUCAUGCUGAUUAUCCGGAUGUGUUGUGGAGGCUAUCCGGAUGUGUACGCUCUGCCAGCGUCGUUUGCUCUUCCUUGGAUAGGAGAAGAUGAAACGUCGUUUGCCUUUCCUUGAAGCGGUCCGGAUAGGAUAACUGCACCAUGCAUAUCCUUAGGGGAAUCCGGAUGAUGAUGGUCCGGCUGAUAACACGUGCCACGCGUCACUAUGAGCUGCGUGCCAUGUGUUUCCCAAGGGGAGGGGUCCCUACAUUGCCCCCCUUUUUAACUUGCCUAUUUUGCCUAAAAAAUGGGCGGGUUAAAAAUAACUGGCUUUUGAAAACUGAAGAAGUCCCUUCUUCUGACUGGGCCACGUGGCGAGUGGGGGUGCGGAAGCCAAAAAGGCAUUUAUGACGAGCCGCCGACCCUGCGUAUCCCCAGACAAUAUGUCGUUUCAAUGAUAACAUGGCUGUUGGUUUGGCUUUCCGAGGGGCUGUCCUGCUAUAAAUAGGGUACUGUACCUCUUUUUGUAUUUUUUUUUUCUACUGCAUUCUCUUGAGAGUCUUUCUUCUUACUGCUUUUUCUACGCCCUUUGCUUUUCUGAGAAAAAAAACUCCGAAAGCUCUUUUGUACCAGUGCUUUUGUAUCGCGACUUUGUUGGUUUGCUGCUGGUGAUUUUGUAUCAAGGCGGUACCCGUUCUUCUUCUUCGGUGCUGUAUUUGGUACGUAUCUCUUUGCUACUGCCGUUCCUUUGGUUGCGUUUGCUGGUUCUUUACACUUGUUUUCUGGCUUGCUUGGGCNNNNNNNNNNNNNNNNNNNNNNNNNNNNNNNNNNNNNNNNNNNNNNNNNNNNNNNNNNNNNNNNNNNNNNNNNNNNNNNNNNNNNNNNNNNNNNNNNNNNCCAUGACGUAUUGAUAGACCUGGUGAACGAGGAGGCGGCUAUGCCUACUGAGAAAGGUGGAAAAAACGCUAUCCUCUUCACAAAGAAACAAUUCAAUGCGGGGCUCCGGUUCCCUCUGCCAGCCUUGUUCAAGGAAUUCCUCCACUUCUUCCAGAUUCCACCCAUCUUCAUUCAUCCCAACCUUGUCCGGGUGCUGAUGGGAUGCAGCAUUAUCAACAUGCUGUACAGCCUCGACCUUACGCUACUGGAAUUGUUCUUUGUCUAUUCCCUGAAGAAAGCAAAGAAUGAUAUCUUCAGUGUGUCCACUCACCUGCCCUCCCUUCAAAUGGUGACAGAACUGCCAGAUUCGACAAAGGGAGGGGCGAAGGGGCUGGUGGCAGUCUGGGGUGGAUGGGCGGGGCUAUCGCAGCAUCCGUCGAGGCCUUUUUCUCCGAAUUAUAGCUUAAAAAUUCCGGGUAAUCUUGUUUUGCGAUUUUUUAUCCGGAUUUUGCUUUGCUGAUUUUUUCUGAUUUUUCCGGACAGAAUUCUCACCUUUUGUUGCUGACAAUGCAGGUUUGGAAUUGAGGGCCACCUUGUGGAUUGGGUGGAAAAGGCGUCCUUUGCCUGCGUCUGCAAAUUAUUUGAAAUAGACCCCAAGGAGAGGGCCUACAAAACAUUGCUUUCCGCGCGGAAUUUGACAGAGGUCGUCCGGGAGCCCCAGGAAUAUGUUAUCAAUAUUCUUCCUAGGAAACUGGCAAAUGAUGAGAUAGUGCAUGGGGAGCAUUAUACAGUGAAGGAGCUCCCCCUCUAUCAGGAAGCUAAAGAGGCUGACGCUGAAAGGCGGCGAAAGCUCCUGGAGGAUAGAGAUCAGAAAAAAACUGAAGGCACUAUCCGGAAGGCUCCCGGACAGAAGGGGGGGCCGGACCCUCCUUCAAAGAAAAUUCCAGGCAAGAUGGGGAAGCUAGUGAAGAAGCAUGGGAAGGAUGUGAAGGAACCCACUCCUCCCAAGGAGUUCCCUCCUCCCCAAACUACCUAUGAGGGGGAAGUAAUGAUAGAGGAGCCAGUAAAUGUUGCUCCGCACUCUAUCUUAAGCGGCCCCGGACGCAUGUCGGGGUUGAAUCACUCAGGUCCUUCCUUGGUCGCGGCUGCGCGUCUGGCUAACGUGGCUGAGGAAGCUGCAUCCAUCAACCGUCUGGGCAACCUUAAUCCGGAUGCUGAUGUAGCUGAAACGGCCCCGUUGGAGGAAGCGAGAGCAGAAAGCCAAAGUCAGCCUUCCGACGACCCGGAUCGCCUGGCUAUAGUCCUGGUGAAAGGGCCUCCCCUCAAGAAGCCGCGUUUGACGCGCGAUCUACAGUCCGGACUCUUUGAGCGGCUUCAAGAGCGGCAGCAAGAGAUUGAAAUUAGCUGCGCUUCUGCCCAUGACGCUCAUCCGGAUGGAGGCGAGGUGGAGAUGGCUACUGAGACCUCAGCCGCUCCGGCAAUAAUUCCGGCUGAGGAUGCAUCCGGACCUAUGUGCCCGGACGAAAAUAUGGGGGCUCCGAUUCCGGGACACGAGCUACCCUCUCCUUCCUCAUCCGAGGAGGAAUCUGCUGAUGAUGCCGCUCCCGCUAGCCCUUUCAGCUACGCGGAGUUGGAAACUAAGUUAAAGCAGAUUACUCCUGACUGGAAAGCCAUCAAGCCCUCUGCUAAGAUGUUUGAUAUGAUAGAAACGGUACACCGUUGUCUUGUGUUUUUGCUUUUUGACUUUUUGUUGCACUGAUGUGUUUGUUGUAGUAUGAUUUAUGUUUUUGCUUUUCUUGUUUGUGUGUUAGCUGGUGAGGGGCCUCCGCAGCAUGUCUCAACAACACGCUCUUUUUACUCAGCUGCUGCAGACUGCAGACUAUAUGAGACCUUCUCCUCUCGGCACCAAGAGAUUGAAAAUCAACUGCGUCUGAGAAUGGAGGAGGCUGAGCCAGUCUAUCCACCAUGCGAGAGGAAAUGAAGCCCUCCGNNNNNNNNNNNNNNNNNNNNNNNNNNNNNNNNNNNNNNNNNNNNNNNNNNNNNNNNNNNNNNNNNNNNNNNNNNNNNNNNNNNNNNNNNNNNNNNNNNNNNNNNNNNNNNNNNNNNNNNNNNNNNNNNNNNNNNNNNNNNNNNNNNNNNNNNNNNNNNNNNNNNNNNNNNNNNNNNNNNNNNNNNNNNNNNNNNNNNNNNNNNNNNNNNNNNNNNNNNNNNNNNNNNNNNNNNNNNNNNNNNNNNNNNNNNNNNNNNNNNNNNNNNNNNNNNNNNNNNNNNNNNNNNNNNNNNNNNNNNNNNNNNNNNNNNNNNNNNNNNNNNNNNNNNNNNNNNNNNNNNNNNNNNNNNNNNNNNNNNNNNNNNNNNNNNNNNNNNNNNNNNNNNNNNNNNNNNNNNNNNNNNNNNNNNNNNNNNNNNNNNNNNNNNNNNNNNNNNNNNNNNNNNNNNNNNNNNNNNNUAGCUUUGUAAAUGAUAGCUCCAUUUCAUUUGCCUUAGACACUAUGUAGGGUCCUCCCAAUUGGCUUGGAAUUUUCCUGCGCCUACUUCAACAGUAUUUUCAAAAACUUUUCUAAGUACUAGCGUACCAUUUUUGAAGUUUCUGGGCCUGACUUUUCGAUUGUAAUGCGCUGAUGCUCUUUGUUGAUAAUCUGCCAUCCGGAUGGAUGCGCUUUCUCUGACUUCGUCUGCCCAGUCCAAAUUUCUUCCUAGUUCCGUGUCGGCGUCUUUUUGCUUUGCUGCAUCAGUCCGGAUAGUAGGAAGACCUAUUUCAGUGGGAAUGACUGCAUCCAUUCCAUAUGUAAGGGCAAAAGGAGUAUUUCCUGUUGGUCGUCCGGGUGUGGUUCGAUAGGCCCACAGGACGCCGGGUAGUUCUUCCACCCACUUCCCUUUGGCUUGCUCCAGCCUUUUCUUCAAGGCAUUGACUAGAGUUUUGUUUGUGGCUUCCGCCUGGCCAUUGCUUUGAGGAUAACGUGGCGUGGAGUAUGAAUUCCGAAUAUUCAAUUCCGAACAGAAAUUCCUGAAUGCAAUGCUGUCAAAUUGUGGACCAUUGUCAGCUAUGAUGAUUUGGGGAAUCCCAAAGCGGCAAACAAUGUUCUUCCAUACGAACUUGGUAACAUCUUUAUCUUUGAUGCUUGCAUAUGCUUCAGCUUCUACCCAUUUACUGAAGUAAUCAGUGGCGACAAGAAGGAAUUUCUUUUGGGCAGGUGUUGCUGGGAGGGGUCCCACUAUGUCCAUGCCCCACUGCGCGAAAGGCCAUGGGCCUGAGACCGAUUUUAAUGCGACUGAUGGUAUAUGUGGAAUGGGAGCGUAUCUUUGACAUUUAUCACAUUUUUGGACAUAUGCUGCCGCGUCUUUCUUCAUUGUUGGCCAAUAGUAUCCUUGUGAAUGAGCUCUAUGUGCUAGGGAUCGUCCUCCCGUAUGAUUUCUGCAUAUUCCUUCAUGUAACUCAGUUAACACAUACUGGGCCUCUGAGUGCCCAAGACAGCGAAGAUAAGGCCCUGUGAAGGAUCGCUUGUACAGGUGCCCCCCAAUCAGGGUGAAACGGGCAGCUUGCACCCGGAUUUUGUGCGCUCGUUUAGGAUCUUCGGGUAAAGUUCCUGUCCGGAGAUAUUCUGCAAUAUCAUGCGUCCAUUCUUGUUCAUCCGCUUGGUCUGCCUCAAUGGAGUUGCAAGUGGAAUUUUCUGCGACAGAGGGAUUGGCUUGUACAUGGAUAGGCAAUAGAAUGGCUUCUCUGAUGGGGAGGGAAGCAGCUAUACCGGCCAAGGCGUCGGCGCGCCCGUUGUCAGCUCGCUUAAUUUUUUCAAUUGUCCACUCGGUGAAUUGCUGUAAGGUGCUUCUUACUUUGGCCAAGUAUCGCGCCAUGCGUGAGUCCUUAGCCUCAUAUUCUUUCUGGACAUGCCUUACCACUAGUUGCGAGUCGCUGUAGAUUCGGAGUUUGGAGACGGAUAGCGCAAGAGCGAGGUCCAAUCCGGACAGGAUGGCCUCGUAUUCUGCUUCAUUGUUAGACGCGGAGAAUCCCAGCCGGAUGGCCUGCUCCAGAUGUUCCCCAGUUGGGGACUGCAAUAAGAGCCCAACUCCAGAGCCUGAUGAGCGUGAGGCUCCGUCAACUCGUAGAGUCCACCACUCCUGUUCACCUGAUUCGUGGUGCUGGUCGGGUCUUCGUGAAUAUUCGAGCACGAAGUCGGCCAUUACUUGGCCUUUUUUGGAUAAUCUGGGUUGGAAUUCGAUUCCAAAUUCGCUCAAUUCGAUGGCCCAUUGUAGCAUUCGCCCAGUUAAAUCUGGCUUGUGUAGAAUGCUACGAAGGGGCUGGUCGGUCAGUACAAUCACUGGGUGGGCUUGAAAAUAGGGGCGGAGCUUUUGAGCAGCACUUCGAAGAGCUAAGGCUGUUAGCUCCAUUUUUGAAUACCUGGUUUCUACAUCUGCCAAAGCUCUGCUGACAUAGUAGACAGGUUUCUGCUCCUUUGGCGAAGGGCAGCGGAAUAGAACGGCGCUGAUUGCCCAUUCUGAGACAGCUAAAUACAUAUAUAGCUUCUCCUUUGGGAUGGGGCUGCUCAAGAUGGGCGGAUGCAUAAGACAGCGUUUAAUUCUUUCCAACGCGUUUUGGCAAUUGUCCGUCCAUCCCUGCGUUCCAGCUUUUCGUAUCGCUAAGAAGAAGGGUCGCAACUCAUCAGUGAAGCGGGCUAUAAAACGUCCUAACGCAACGAGCUUGCCUGUGAGGCGUUGUAACUCCUUUUUGUUCCUGGGAGGAGGUGUCUCCAUGACUGCUUUGACUUGAUCCGGGCUGACUUCUAUGCCUCUUUGGCUGACCAUAAAUCCCAGAAAUUUGCCAGCACUCACGCCAAAGGCACAUUUGGAAGGAUUUAGCUUCAUGUCAUACUUUCGCAAGAGGUAAAAUACUUCUUGUAAAUGGAGGAUAUGCUGCUCUCGAGUUUUGCUUUUAACCACGAUAUCGUCAAUGUAUACCUCGACCGAGCGGCCUAUCAGAGGUUUGAAGAUUUUAGUCAUCAAUCUUUGAUACGUGGCGCCAGCGUUUUUGAGUCCAAAUGGCAUGACUUUGUAGCAAUAGAGGCCGUGUGGCGUUAUGAAUGCUGUUUUUUCUUCGUCAUCCGGAGACAUGGGAAUUUGGUGAUAGCCGGAGAAGGCAUCCAAGAAAGAGAGCAUCCCUUGCCCGGAAGUGGAAUCCACAAUUUGAUCUAUCCGCGGUAAGGGAAAACUGUCUUUUGGACAUGCAUUAUUGAGAUUGGUGUAAUCAACACAUACUCGCCAUUUGCCCUCUUUCUUUGGUACCACUACUACAUUUGCCAACCAAUCCGGAUAAGAUACCUCUCUGAUGAAUCCGGCUUCCAACAAUUUGUUAAUUUCAUCUUGGAUAACUCUUUGUCUAUCCGGGUGAAAUCGUCUAAUCUUCUGUCGAAUGGGUCUGGCUGCUGGAAAGACGUUAAGCUUGUGAGAGGCGAUAGAGGGAUGAAUUCCCUUCAUAUCCGAAUGUGUCCAUGCGAAGAUGUCAUAGUUACUUCGAAGGAUAUUCUGUAUGCUCUGGGUUUCUUCUUGUGUCAUGAGGGAACUGAUGUUUGUAAGGUGAUCAUUCUCUUCUGAGAUUUGGAUUGUUUGUAAGGGAUCUGCUACCGGGGGAUCCUUGUCCACCGGACCCAAUAAUUGCUAUUGGUCGCGCGCAAUGCUAGGUUCAGGGGGAGAUGCAUCCUCCUGGUUAGCGACUGCUUCACGUGCUAUUUGGUAGCACUGGCGAGCGACUAACUGGCUGCCAUACAAGUCAGUUUGCCCUUCAUUGGUGAGGAAACUCACCAUUUGAUGAUAUGUGGAAGGGAUGGCUUUCAUGUAGUGAAGCCAUGUGCGUCCCAAGAUGAUAUUGAAGGGUGACAAUUCUUGCACCAUCGAGAAUUGCACGUUGAGAGUGACUGGUCCAGCUCGAACCGGCAGUAUAAUGUCUCCUAAGGAUGUUGUUGAUGAUCCGUUGAAUCCAGAUAAGAUUCGUCCGGGGUUUUCGAGACCCGCGAGACUAUGUCCCAUAUGGCCAAUGACUGAUGCUUGUACUAGAUCGGCUGAACUGCCUGGAUCAACCAAGAUACGUCUUACAUCAAAAUCUCCUAUUUCUAGAGAGAGGAUGAGGGCGUCGCGAUGUGGUUGUAGCGUCCGGGUGGGAUCUACUGGUGGGAAAAUGAUUGUCCCAUCUAUGGGGCGAGGGCCCUCUCCAGUAAGACCCGGCCGGAUGGAAUUAAUGCGCUCGCGUAUUGACGCGGCCCGCAACAAUUUCUGCCUUUUACGCCUGGAAUCGUAUUCCUCGUCAGACGGGCCCCCAUUGAUAUAGUUUAUCACAGCCUUGGGGGCGACUGGGGCCCUCGGGGCCUCAGAGUUAUGAUGCUGAGAUACGUCCCUUCCUCCAGUAUCUGAGCGGAGGUACUGUUUUAAAUGUCCUGCUUUGAUGAGCCUUUCAACUAGAUACUGGAGGGAUCGACACGUCUCUGUUGUAUGACCAUGGUCUUUGUGGAAGGCGCAUUUCUUGCUGCGGUCUCUUAUGGAUGGGUCUGUUUCGAGGGGUCUAGGCCACCUAAAGUCAGACAACCCUUGGAUCAUUGGGAGAAGUUUUUCGUAUGAUACGGAUAGGGGUGUGACGGGCGGCCUAUUCGGACGAUUCGGCCCGUCCUGUCUCCGGUCAACUGGUUUUGGACGGUCCGGAGGCUUGGCAUGCCUGUCCGCGUUAUCUCUAGAAGCCCGUCCGGCAACCAAUACUUGCUGAGUGGCUGCACGCACGUCAUCUUCGAGCAUUGAAUAUUUGUUAGCACGUCUGAACAAAUCGUCCAUCGUUGUAGGAGGCUUUUUUGCCAGUGAUUCAAAAAAUGGAGUGCCUGGACAAAUGCUUCUCUUGAAGAUUUGUAGGACAGCAUCCAUGCUGCAAACCUCUAUUUGGAGUACGGCUUGGCCAAAUCGUUUCACAAAUUCCCUCAAGGAUUCGUUGUCUCUCAUUUUUAUGUUCUGGAGGGUGCUGAUAUUCUGCUUGUGUCGAGCAGAGCACAAGUACUGUCCCACGAAUGCUUCAGAGAGGUCCCUGAAAUUGUCAAUAGAGUUAGGAGGUAGGCGAUGAAACCAUGAGAGGGCCUGCCCUUGAAGGCUGGCGGGGAAUACUUUGCAUAACAAUGCAUCGUUGCCAAUAUCGAGCGUCAUAAGCUGUCGAUAGUGCAUGAUGUGAUCGAAUGGGUCGUUGGUCCCAUCAUAUGUGGAAAACUUCGGUACGAGGAAUCCCCUUGGGGGUUCGUAAUGAGUGAUAUGAGAGCAAAAGGGCGUGGAGAGCAUGUCAUCCAGCCUUUUGCUGAUGGAGCUAAUGGGUGGCUCGUUUGGAAGGUUUCUCCCAGCUGGUCGUUCCGCUAGGUGUGAGUGAACGUUCCGCAUCGCUGGGGUGACCAUGGGGUCACGAUGCGGAGGUACGUUCUGCACCAUGGGAGCGAUCAUAGGAUCGGGGCGUGGCGCCCGGGUUGUGGCUGCUGGUGGCCUUGAUCUCCCAGGCUCUUGUGGGCCUAGUCUUGCACGCAUAGAACUUGACAACUGUGAUUUUCUAUCACGCUGUCUUUUUGCUGAGAAAUGAGUGGAAUCUGAGCUUUCCUCACGGGGAGCUCGAGGCAUGGGUGUGCGUGGCUCAUGGGGCCUUGCGUUGUACGUUCCUGGGAUAGCUCCUGUUGACCCAGGAUAUAUUGAUUCUGGCUCUGGCUUUGAGUUUGUCACCUGGCCUUUUGAGCGCUGACGACGAGGAGGUCCUGAUGUUGAGGCUUGAAUGCGUAACACAGCGUUUUCUUCCCUUAACCUCUCCGUCUCCUGGAGGAGAGCUUUUAGCUGUUUUUCGCUCGCCAACUGUCUUUUUUCGAUGGCUUGACGCCAUUCGUGGUUAUCUUCUUCCUCUCUACCAGAUGAUCGACUUUGGGAAGGUGUGGCCAUCUUUGCUAGUGACUGAAUCAAAAUAAAAAGUAAAAGUUUUCCCACAGACGGCGCCAAUGUUGUCGCCUCGCGUAUCCGAUGGUCCACGUUGCUGUUAUAUGGAUGGACACGUGAUUCUCAACACACAAGGGGUUCUUGAUUCAGUGGUUGCACCUGCAAAAGGCAUCCGGACAGGGUGUCCGGACGCACCCUCCGAUGGUUUUAUUAGCCAUGGUGAGAAAGAGAUAUAUAAAUCAGUUGGCCUUUUUUCUAGGUAUCAAGAGGUUACCAGGAGAUCCCCUUUCUUCUUCGUGCGAAGGUAUAUAUAUCCAGCUUCAGGGGUACUGUUCCUCUCAUUAAUGGUGAGGAGAUCUUUUCUGUUGUGAUGAUGACAAUAGGUGUUAGUAGGAGCACUAUCAUCCUACGAAUGGCUGUCAGAGACUAUGGUAGGUGAUGCGGCCGUCAGAGAUCGUGGGAAGCGAUUAUGCAGAAUGAUCGUGGGAAGUGACUUGCUGUCACUUCCUCUUGUCUUCUCAUUCUGCAGGUGAUGGGAUGUGGGCCAUGGCUGCUUGUUGUGAUUGCGUGUAAGACUCGCUUUACUUUAAUUGACCAUCCAGAAGAUUUAUAUCCGGAUGGCUCAUGCUGAUUAUCCGGAUGUGUUGUGGAGGCUAUCCGGAUGUGUACGCUCUGCCAGCGUCGUUUGCUCUUCCUUGGAUAGGAGAAGAUGAAACGUCGUUUGCCUUUCCUUGAAGCGGUCCGGAUAGGAUAACUGCACCAUGCAUAUCCUUAGGGGAAUCCGGAUGAUGAUGGUCCGGCUGAUAACACGUGCCACGCGUCACUAUGAGCUGCGUGCCACGUGUUUCCCAAGGGGAGGGGUCCCUACAGUUGUGAAUAACCUCGACUCCAAGGAAAUAAUUCAAGCUAGCGUCCAAGAUCACGGAUGGCAAAGGUGGAGUUAUAGGCAAGGAUGAAAAUAUCGGUAAUCACGGAUAUAUCGGUAAUUCGAUUUUACGGAUAUAUCGAAGAUAUUUUUGGAUAUAUCGGUGGAUAUUAUUGGUAAGCUUAAAAUUGUUAAAAACUCAUGGAAAUGCAAGAAAAACCUUAUAAUAAUAUAAUUAGAAGUAUAAUAGACAUUUUAAAAUUGUUUUAUUGAAAAAUUUGAUAUAUAUAUAUAUAUGAUAUAAUUUGCGAUAUUAGAUGUAAUUAUAUCAUGUCGAUCUAUAAGAAAUGUUAAUUUCGUAAUUGUUUUCAUUAUAAAGUCACAUCAAAUACUUCAUUUCAUUAAAUAAUAAUAAUUUGUACACAUUACAUUGCAAUGUCCCUUUAGUACCAAAAUGAGUUUCGAUGUGGUUCAAUGGGAUUGAUAGAUGAAGGAACCCCGGCUUGCUAUUGGAGACAAUAUUGGUACCAAGUCAAUGAGCCUCGAUAAUAUUGGUUAUAAAUUCUAACAUGUCAUGCAUAUAUCUCUUGAGUCCUGUCUACUGCUUCUACAUGGAUAGGAUACUCAAAGUUCACCCAUGUGUUAACGUCAAAUCCUUCUUCCAUCUGAUAUGGAAUUUGGUAUGGCAUUUGUCUGGAAGGGGAAUAAUGCGACAUACCAUACUCUUCAUCUGUUGAACUUAAAGGUUGAUCAUAACUCAUCACAUGAGGAGGGUAGACGUUAGCCUCAUUCGAGGAGUUACUAAAUUGAGUCUCUAUACUCAUAGAUUCAAAACUCCCUGAAAGUAACUUCUCGUUAUAUGGUUCCAUCAUUCGUUCUCUUCCUCUAUAAGGCCUCCCAAUAGCUCCUAUGCCUGGACCAGCUCUUCUAGAGCCAUGGUCUUCAUCCUGUGUGCAGUGUGUGAAAUCAUUUUCACAAGUAAAUUGGCUGAUUGGAUAUUGACUAUGUCGACGUUCAUCAAUAUCUCCUCCCCCAUUAUCACCUCCAUCAUCAGUUCCACCUCUUGAACCAUCAGUCCCUCCACUUUUCAUUACCAACCCACAAAAAUUACAAAUUGUUCCAUUUCGAUUACCCUCAAUUUGUAAACAAUACUUCCAAGCCGGAUCUCGCCCUGGCAUGGCAGAACCACCUUCACUAGCCAUGCUAAAUCUAUUGCAAGAAAAAUACACUUAAAUUUAAAUCUAUGUUAAUUAAACUAAUUAAAUAAAUUACCUAAGUUAAUUUUCAAAAUCUAAAUGUAAUUUUAUGACAAAUUUACUAAAUAUUGAAAUUAAUCAUAAUUGAAUAUGAAAAUAAAUCGCGAUAAUAUAAAAAAUUGAGCAUAUUUAAUAUUCCAUAUAUAGUAGUUCAUGUUAAUUUAAGUAAUUAAAUAAAUUACCUAAGUUAAUUUUCAAAAUCUAAAUGUAAUUUUAUGACAAAUUUACUAAAUAUUGAAAUUAAUUAUAAUUGAAUAUGAAAAUAAAUCGCGAUAAUAUAAAAAAUUGAGCAUAUUUAAUAUUCCAUAUAUAGUAGUUCAUGUUAAUUAAACUAAUUAAAUAAAAUACCUAAGUUAAUUUUCAAAAUCUAAAUGUAAUUUUAUGAUAAAUUUACUAAAUAUUGAAAUUAAUCAUAAUUGAAUAUGAAAAUAAAUCGCGAUAAUAUAAAAAAUUGAGCAUAUUUAAUAUUCCAUAUAUAGUAGUUCAUGUUAAUUUAACUAAUUAAAUAAAUUACGUAAGUUAAUUUUCAAAAUCUAAAUGUAAUUUUAUGACAAAUUUACUAAAUAUUGAAAUUAAUCAUAAUUGAAUAUGAAAAUAAAUCGCGAUAAUAUAAAAAAUUGAGCAUAUUUAAUAUUCCAUAUAUAGUAGUUCAUGUUAAUUAAACUAAUUAAAUAAAGGGAGAAUUAUGUUUUAGGGGUAGAUGGGCCCCCAAAUUAACAAAAAGUUCAUAUAACUCUUUAAAUUGAGUUGAAGGAUAUGAAAUAGUAACGGACAAAUAUACCCUUUAAGAACACAUAUAAAAUAUUUUAUAAAAUUAAGUUAAAUAAUUUUUUUUUCAAAAAUACUAAAUUAAAUAGAAGUGGUUUUCAAAAAUAUUAAAUUAAAAUUUUUUUUUCAAAAAUAUUAAAUUAAAUAAUUUUUUUUCAAAAAUAUUAAAUUAAAUAAUUUUUUUCAAAAAUAUUAAAUUAAAUAAAAGUAUUUUUUAAAAAAUAUUAAAUUAAAUAAAAGUAUUUUUAAAAAAUAUUAAAUUAAAUCAAAAAUAUUUUUAAAAAAUAUUAAAUUAAAUAAAAGUAUUUUUCAAAAAUAUUAAUUUUUUUCUCAAAAUCAACAAAGGGCAUUUUUGGAAAUACUGAAAUAUAAUAUCCUUCAACUCAAUUUCCAUACUUACAUUGAGUCUUGGGCUCAAUUUGAAGAGUUACACGGACCUUUUGUUAAUUUGAGGGUCCAUCUACCCCUAAAAUAUAAUUCUCCCUUAAAUAAAUUACCUAAGUUAAUUUUUAAAAUCUAAAUGUAAUUUUAUGACAAAUUUACUAAAUAUUGAAAUUAAUCAUAAUUGAAUAUGAAAAUAAAUCGCGAUAAUAUAAAAAAUUGAGCAUAUUUAAUAUUCCAUAUAUAGUAGUUCAUGUUAAUUUAACUAAUUAAAUAAAUUACCUAAGUUAAUUUUCAAAAUCUAAAUGUAAUUUUAUGACAAAUUUACUAAAUAUUGAAAUUAAUCAUAAUUGAAUAUGAAAAUAAAUCGCGAUAAUAUAAAAAAUUGAGCAUAUUUAAUAUUCCAUAAUUAACCAUGUUAAUUAAAUUAAUUACAUAAUUUACUAUGUUAAUUAAAUUAAUUAAAUAAUUUAGCUAAGUUAAUUAGUUUAAUGUAAUUCUAAAUACGAAUUUAAAUCACAAAUAAUCAUCUAAAAUAAAUAUAUCAUAACCUAAAUUAAUUCAAUAAAAAUAUACAAAAUAAUUACAAUUGAAUGUAAACAUACUAAUUAAUUAAAAAUACAUGAAUUAAUUAUUGCAAACAAAAUUAAUUAUAAUUUCAAACAAACAUACCUUAAAAUGAUUGAAUAAUUGAGCAAUCUUGGAAAAAAUUGGAGUAAUAAGAGAGCAAAUGAAGAAUCAAAGCAAAGAUGGAUGAAAUUGAUGCAAAAUUGGCUAUUUAUAGAUGAAAUUUGGGCCAAAAUAGCCGUUGGAACCUUAAGUUACCGUUUAAAAUUAAUUUUGGCCGUUGGAUCACAAUUUGGAAGCAAUCUGACCGUUGGAUCUCUUUGUUAACGUUGGGAUUCAAAUCUGGGCGUUGGAUCAACACGGGCGUGAUCUGGGGCGUCAGAUCACGCUGGAGAGAGAGGGGCGAUUUUUCGCCAAAAAUCGCCAAAAAAUCGGCGAUAUAUCACUGAUAAGUCGGCGACACACGGGAUUCUCAGGCGAUUUUUUGAUAAAAUUGCCGAUUUAUCCUGUGUCGCCGAUAUAUCGCCGAUUUUUUGGCAAAAAAUCGCUCGGCCGACUUAUCUCCUCCAUUUAUCGUUUCGCUUCCCGCCGACAUGCGAUAUAUCGACGAUAUUUCGCCGAUUUUUUCCUCCUUGAUUAUAGGAAGUAAAAGAUGAGACCUGAGAAGAGUUAUUGCCAAUGACAAGAAUAUCAUCAACGUAAACAAUCAAUAUCGUUGCCUAUAUAUAUAUAUAUAUAUAUAUAUGCUCCGUUCAGAGCUCUUCUGGUUUGUCUCCGAUGGCAGCAGCCUCGAAUAUUAGUCGAAAAGCACAUCACCUAUCAUUGUUCACAAUUCUUUGAAUUGAGAUUACUGAUGCUUACCUUUUAUAGGGCAGUUUGGAACUUUGGGUCACUUAUUUUUCCGACGUGGGAUUCACAUGUGCUUUCUUUAAAGGGCAAAUGUCAUUUAAAAGGGCAUGUAAAGGUGGUGAAAAUUAAACCUAUGUAUUAGUGGGGAAAGACCAAGGGUUGUGAUGUAUUGGUCGAUUUAUCUAAUAUUAUAGGAUAUUAAAUAUCAAAAUAAUAUAAAUAAAACAAUUAAUGAUUUUAAAAAUAAUAAAAUAUAUAAUUAUUAAAAUCAAAACAUCUUUAAAUAAGAAUAAUUAUAAGUUAAAUAUAUUUAAUAAAAUUAGAGAUGCUAAAAUUUUAAUAAAUUUUCAUGUUAUCCUUAUUCUAAUUUAAUUUGGCAAUAUUAAUGAUAAAAUAACGAAAUAUGUUUUAUUUUUUUAAUAAUAUGUAAAUUAUAUAUUUAUGAUGUCAUUGGUUCAAUAGUUGUCUAAAAGGCUACUAAUUCGUAAAUUAAUAACUUUUUCGUAAUUGGUUCAACUACUAAUUCGUAAAUUGAUAACUUUUUCGAUUUAAUAACCAAUCUAAUUCUAAAAACAUUGAGUAAAUCAAGCUAAAAUUGAAUCAAAAUUUAAACCACCGGCUUCUUAUGCUUGGAACCCAAAAAAGAAGUGAGAGUCUAUGCCCGUGGAAGUAUAUCAAAGAUGGCUGGAGGACGUUGCCUACCCUGAAUUUGUUUUGGUAUUCACAUAUUGUUAUCAUGGGGAGGAAAUCAAGUAGUGUGAAGGUGUUAGAUGUGGGGUUCAUGAGUUGAGUUGAGGCAACGGGGAUUGUCUUUGGUGGAUGUGGUUUUGAUAUAAAAGGCUAACCAAAUAUGUGUGUAAUUUGACUUAUAAUAUUGUGUUUAGUAGGAAGGAAUUUAUAUGGAAAUAAACUUUAGAAAUUCUCAAAUUCAAAGUUUGGAAUGGAGAGAAUUCACUGAAAACAAAAUUAUUACAUAAUUUGAAGUUUUCAUUAAAGAUAAGUGAUAUUUUACUGAAUUUGGAUUUCAUUUAAUGGAUUUGUUAAAUUUUUUCAUAAUUAUUACGAUUUAGUGAUUUUUAUUUUUAUUUUUUACACUGUAUUAUUAUUAUUAUAAUAAUAAAAUAAACAAAAAAAAAUGUGAAAAAAUAAAGUAAUUAAAUAAGAAUUGGUAAAAAAACGUGUGAUUAAAAUAGUUGAAAAUUACAUUAAUUUGAAAAAAAUUGACCCAUCUAUUUUCUCACCCAAUCUAAAUAUGUAGCACAAAUUUUAUCAUUAAUUUCAUAAUAACAAACUCAAAUUACUAUUACUAUCUCACUUUUUUUCUUUUUUUUUUAUAAGUAAAAGUAAAGAAACACAAAAUUGAUAGAAAAUAAAUAAAUAAAUAAAUAAAAAGAAAAGAAAGAAUUGGUUGCUAUAAAAGGGGUUGAAUCACAGCGAACCGUUUGGAAUUUCGUUAUCUAAAAGUAGAGUUGAGCGAGAGACAGACUUGCCUUUUUCUCUUCUUGAAAAAACAAGAAGCCCAAUAGUCAUGGCGGUUCACCUGAACUGGUCUCUACCGACUCAGUCUUCCCUCGCUUUCUUCCAUCGGACCUUCCACAAAGCUCCGGCUCCGCCUAGACUCCUCUCCAUCCUAUCUCAGAAGCUCAGCUCUGGUUCUGGAGAUCCAUUCCUUUCUAAUGCGUCCGGGUUCGGACCUAGGAAAUCCGCGAAUUUGGAUCGUCCAGAAGCUUCGAUCGGAUCUUCUGGUUCCUCUUCGUCUUCUUCAUCGUCGUCUUCGGUUAUUGAUUUCCUCACAUUGUGUCAUCGG